UGGCUCAGGAUGAACGCUGGCGGCGUGCCUAAUACAUGCAAGUCGAGCGAACAGAUAAGGAGCUUGCUCCUUUGACGUUAGCGGCGGACGGGUGAGUAACACGUGGGUAACCUACCUAUAAGACUGGGAUAACUUCGGGAAACCGGAGCUAAUACCGGAUAAUAUUUCGAACCGCAUGGUUCGAUAGUGAAAGAUGGUUUUGCUAUCACUUAUAGAUGGACCCGCGCCGUAUUAGCUAGUUGGUAAGGUAACGGCUUACCAAGGCAACGAUACGUAGCCGACCUGAGAGGGUGAUCGGCCACACUGGAACUGAGACACGGUCCAGACUCCUACGGGAGGCAGCAGUAGGGAAUCUUCCGCAAUGGGCGAAAGCCUGACGGAGCAACGCCGCGUGAGUGAUGAAGGUCUUCGGAUCGUAAAACUCUGUUAUUAGGGAAGAACAUACGUGUAAGUAACUAUGCACGUCUUGACGGUACCUAAUCAGAAAGCCACGGCUAACUACGUGCCAGCA
rnacentral:rRNA from 1 species